CGCUUGCAGAGUCUAGUACAGUUGGAGUUGCCGCAGCAAUCGCGAACCCAAUCUGCCACAUGCAGCUUGCGAUCAUGAGGAGUGGAUUCCUGCGUUGGACCUGCUCGCUCUCAUGGCGUAAUUUACUGCCUGAAUCAAGGUCGGAGUUCCUUGCCAUAUCGCAGCGCCAAGUCCGCCGGUGCUGAUGCACUAUAUUAUGGGAGACAAGCGGCGGCCGGGGCUGCGAGAAGCCGCAGGAGGUGACUGAAGCAGGCCGAGCUCCACUCAAAGAGCGCACCGAUGAUGUUUGAAGAAAUGCCCCCGUCGGAAUGGCCGGCUGUUGCUCGGCUAAAUGCCCCCGUGCGGAUGCAGGACAGGUGCUCGACGAAAUGCCUGCAAGAAACCGGCAAAUCCUGAGAACGGCCAUCUCGUGUCUUUUCCUCCCGCCCAGCACGUCAGGCACUGCAGCUGGGGCGAUGCUUUCUCUGAAGUUCUCUGCAAUGUCCAGACGUAAUUCCAGGAGUGCUUGGAUGCAGGCUGGUCUAUGAAUUGAGAUACCACCCCUGUGGAGGUCGCCCAGAUCAUUUUCAACAAAAUGGCCUUGUGCGACUGCAAGGGUCGGGUGCCAUUGGAUAGGUAAGCUGGUGAGUUUUGGAUUGGCUGGGUUGGAAUGAUGCCUAGAAAGGCUCCAGGUGCGUGU